rnacentral:rRNA from 1 species
UACAGAGGGGGCAAGCGUUGUUCGGAAUUACUGGGCGUAAAGGGCGCGUAGGCGGCCCGCUAAGUCGAACGUGAAAUCCCCGAGCUCAACUCGGGAACUGCGUCCGAUACUGGCGGGCUUGAAUCCGGGAGAGGGAUGCGGAAUUCCAGGUGUAGCGGUGAAAUGCGUAGAUAUCUGGAGGAACACCGGUGGCGAAGGCGGCAUCCUGGACCGGCAUUGACGCUGAGGCGCGAAAGCUAGGGGAGCAAGCGGG